GUGGGGAAUAUUGGACAAUGGGCGCAAGCCUGAUCCAGCCAUGCCGCGUGAGUGAUGAAGGCCUUAGGGUUGUAAAGCUCUUUCAGUGGGGACGAUACUGACGGUACCCACAGAAGCAGCCCCGGCUAACUUCGUGCCAGCAGCCGCGGUCAUACGAAGGGGGCUAGCGUUGUUCGGAUUUACUGGGCGUAAAGCGCACGUAGGCGGAUCGUUAAGUCGGGGGUGAAAUCCUGGAGCUCAACUCAAGAACUGCCUUCGAUACUGGCGAUCUUGAGUCCGGAAGAGGUGAGUGGAACGCCUAGGGUAGAGGUGGAAUUCAUAGAUAUUAGGAAGAACACCAGUGGCGAAGGCGGCUCACUGGUCCGGUACGGACGCUGAGGUGCGAAAGCGUGGGGAGCAAACAGGAUUAGAAACCCUUGUAGUCC
rnacentral:rRNA from 1 species